GGAGCGGUAGUUCAGUUGGUUAGAAUACCUGCCUGUCACGCAGGGGGUCGCGGGUUCGAGUCCCGUCCGUUUCGCCA
rnacentral:tRNA from 1 species